UACGAAGGGGGCUAGCGUUGUUCGGAAUUACUGGGCGUAAAGCGCGCGCAGGCGGUCCUUCAAGUCAGAGGUGAAAGCCCAGAGCUCAACUCUGGGAAUGGCCUUUGAGACUAGAGGACUUGGGGUACGGGAGAGGUGAGUGGAAUUCCGAGUGUAGAGGUGAAAUUCGUAGAUAUUCGCAAGAACACCAGUGGCGAAGGCGGCUCACUGGCCCGAGUACCUGACGCUGGAGGCACGAAAGCGUGGGGAGCAACAGGAUUAAGAA
rnacentral:rRNA from 1 species